AUUAUUAAAUUUAAUAUGUUUAUCUAUAAACUAAUAUUUAUAUUGAUCAACCAUUAAUAUUUUUAUUAAUCUAAUUAAUUUUUUUAUUAGUUAUCUAGUUAAAAUGAUUUACUAACUGAUUAAAAAGUUAAAUUAUUUUUUUUAUAUUUAAUUAAUUAAUUAAUAUAUUUUUAAUAUCUUAUACACUAUUCAUAGCUAAUAAAUUUUUUAAUUUAUUAAAUUAAUUUUAAGCAAUAUUUUGAUGUUAAUUAAUUAGAUAAAAUAAUUUUAAUUUUAAAUUAUAACACUUAUUUCUCUCGUUCCAAUCUAACCAUCCAAACAUUAUUUAUCUUAUUCCUACAAACAACUCAAUUUUCAUACAAACGCAAAAUUCGUCUAGUCUCUGUUUAUACCUGAACUUGUACCUAUAUCUAAAAAAAGCAGUUCUUAUGUAUAUCCAAACCAAACGCAACUGGUACCAUGUAUAAGCCCAC
rnacentral:lncRNA from 1 species